CCGGAGGAAGAGAAAGAAAAUUCGAUUCCCUUAGUAGCGGCGAGCGAAACGGGAAGAGCCCAAACCAACAAGCUUGCUUGUUGGGGUUGUAGGACACUCUAUACGGAGUUACAAAGGACGACAUUAGACGAAUCAUCUGGAAAGAUGAAUCAAAGAAGGUAAUAAUCCUGUAGUCGAAAAUGUUGUCUCUCUUGAGUGGAUCCUGAGUACGACGGAGCACGUGAAAUUCCGUCGGAAUCUGGGAGGACCAUCUCCUAAGGCUAAAUACUCUCUAGUGACCGAUAGUGAACCAGUACCGUGAGGGAAAGGUGAAAAGCACCCCGGAAGGGGAGUGAAAUAGAACCUGAAACCGUGUGCUUACAAGUAGUCAGAGCCCGUUAAUGGGUGAUGGCGUGCCUUUUGUAGAAUGAACCGGCGAGUUACGAUUUGAUGCAAGGUUAAGCAGUAAAUGUGGAGCCGUAGCGAAAGCGAGUCUGAAUAGGGCGUUUAGUAUUUGGUCGUAGACCCGAAACCAGGUGAUCUACCCUUGGUCAGGUUGAAGUUCAGGUAACACUGAAUGGAGGACCGAACCGACUUACGUUGAAAAGUGAGCGGAUGAACUGAGGGUAGCGGAGAAAUUCCAAUCGAACCUGGAGAUAGCUGGUUCUCUCCGAAAUAGCUUUAGGGCUAGCCUCAAGUGAUGAUUAUUGGAGGUAGAGCACUGUUUGGACGAGGGGCCCCUCUCGGGUUACCGAAUUCAGACAAACUCCGAAUGCCAAUUAAUUUAACUUGGGAGUCAGAACAUGGGUGAUAAGGUCCGUGUUCGAAAGGGAAACAGCCCAGACCACCAGCUAAGGUCCCAAAAUAUAUGUUAAGUGGAAAAGGAUGUGGCGUUGCCCAGACAACUAGGAUGUUGGCUUAGAAGCAGCCAUCAUUUAAAGAGUGCGUAAUAGCUCACUAGUCGAGUGACACUGCGCCGAAAAUGUACCGGGGCUAAACAUAUUACCGAAGCUGUGGAUUGUCCUUUGGACAAUGGUAGGAGAGCGUUCUAAGGGCGUUGAAGCAUGAUCGUAAGGACAUGUGGAGCGCUUAGAAGUGAGAAUGCCGGUGUGAGUAGCGAAAGACGGGUGAGAAUCCCGUCCACCGAUUGACUAAGGUUUCCAGAGGAAGGCUCGUCCGCUCUGGGUUAGUCGGGUCCUAAGCUGAGGCCGACAGGCGUAGGCGAUGGAUAACAGGUUGAUAUUCCUGUACCACCUAUAAUCGUUUUAAUCGAUGGGGGGACGCAGUAGGAUAGGCGAAGCGUGCGAUUGGAUUGCACGUCUAAGCAGUAAGGCUGAGUAUUAGGCAAAUCCGGUACUCGUUAAGGCUGAGCUGUGAUGGGGAGAAGACAUUGUGUCUUCGAGUCGUUGAUUUCACACUGCCGAGAAAAGCCUCUAGAUAGAAAAUAGGUGCCCGUACCGCAAACCGACACAGGUAGUCAAGAUGAGAAUUCUAAGGUGAGCGAGCGAACUCUCGUUAAGGAACUCGGCAAAAUGACCCCGUAACUUCGGGAGAAGGGGUGCUCUUUAGGGUUAACGCCCAGAAGAGCCGCAGUGAAUAGGCCCAAGCGACUGUUUAUCAAAAACACAGGUCUCUGCUAAACCGUAAGGUGAUGUAUAGGGGCUGACGCCUGCCCGGUGCUGGAAGGUUAAGAGGAGUGGUUAGCUUCUGCGAAGCUACGAAUCGAAGCCCCAGUAAACGGCGGCCGUAACUAUAACGGUCCUAAGGUAGCGAAAUUCCUUGUCGGGUAAGUUCCGACCCGCACGAAAGGCGUAACGAUUUGGGCACUGUCUCAACGAGAGACUCGGUGAAAUCAUAGUACCUGUGAAGAUGCAGGUUACCCGCGACAGGACGGAAAGACCCCGUGGAGCUUUACUGUAGCCUGAUAUUGAAAUUCGGCACAGCUUGUACAGGAUAGGUAGGAGCCUUUGAAACGUGAGCGCUAGCUUACGUGGAGGCGCUGGUGGGAUACUACCCUAGCUGUGUUGGNUUUCUAACCCGCACCACUUAUCGUGGUGGGAGACAGUGUCAGGCGGGCAGUUUGACUGGGGCGGUCGCCUCCUAAAAGGUAACGGAGGCGCUCAAAGGUUCCCUCAGAAUGGUUGGAAAUCAUUCAUAGAGUGUAAAGGCAUAAGGGAGCUUGACUGCGAGACCUACAAGUCGAGCAGGGUCGAAAGACGGACUUAGUGAUCCGGUGGUUCCGCAUGGAAGGGCCAUCGCUCAACGGAUAAAAGCUACCCCGGGGAUAACAGGCUUAUCUCCCCCAAGAGUUCACAUCGACGGGGAGGUUUGGCACCUCGAUGUCGGCUCAUCGCAUCCUGGGGCUGUAGUCGGUCCCAAGGGUUGGGCUGUUCGCCCAUUAAAGCGGUACGCGAGCUGGGUUCAGAACGUCGUGAGACAGUUCGGUCCCUAUCCGUCGUGGGCGUAGGAAAUUUGAGAGGAGCUGUCCUUAGUACGAGAGGACCGGGAUGGACAUACCUCUGGUGUACCAGUUGUCGUGCCAACGGCAUAGCUGGGUAGCUAUGUGUGGACGGGAUAAGUGCUGAAAGCAUCUAAGCAUGAAGCCCCCCUCAAGAUGAGAUUUCCCAACUUCGGUUAUAAGAUCCCUCAAAGAUGAUGAGGUUAAUAGGUUCGAGGUGGAAGCAUGGUGACAUGUGGAGCUGACGAAUACUAAUCGAUCGAAGACUUAAUCAA
rnacentral:rRNA from 1 species